rnacentral:rRNA from 1 species
AUACGGAGGAUGCGAGCGUUAUCCGGAUUCAUUGGGUAUAAAGGGUGCGUAGGCGGCCCCCCAAGUCAGCGGUGAAAUGUCCGGGCCCAACCCGGAGGGUGCCGUUGAUACUGGGGGGCUGGAGUACGGACGCCGGCGGAGGAAUGAGUGGUGUAGCGGUGAAAUGCAUAGAUAUCACUCAGAACCCCGAUUGCGAAGGCAUCCGCCGAGGCCGUUACUGACGCUGAGGCACGAAAGCGUGGGGAUAGAACAGGAUUAGAUCCCCUGGUAUUCCACGCCGUAAACGAUGAUGACUAACCGCCGGGGGGAGACUUCCGGCAGCCAAGCGAAAGCGAUAAGUCAUCCACCUGGGGAGUACGGCCGCAAGGCUGAAACUCAAAUGAAUUGGCGGGG